rnacentral:lncRNA from 1 species
UUUAAGAUAUGAUUUAUAAUUCUGUUGCAGAAUAGUCACCAAACACGACUCUUUCUUGGCAACCAAACAUCACAUUCACAUUUAACAGAAGAGAUUGCUACUAGAAACAAAAAAAAUAAAAAUAAAGCACCAAAAAUAUAAAAAAUCAAAAUCAAAAUCAAGAGCAAUUUAGGUGAAAAACAUAGAAAGAUCACGAAAUUAAGAGAAUGUCAACAAAGAAAAAGAUGAGCAUACGUGGCAGGC